ACUGAAUAGAUACCCCGGAGUCCCAGCCGUAAACGAUGCUCGCUAGGUGUCAGGCAUGGCGCGACCGUGUCUGGUGCCGCAGGGAAGCCGUGAAGCGAGCCACCUGGGAAGUACGGCCGCAAGGCUGAAACUUAAAGGAAUUGGCGGGGGAGCACAACAACGGGUGGAGCCUGCGGUUUAAUUGGACUCAACGCCGGACAACUCACCGGGGGCGACAGCAAUAUGUAGGCCAGGCUGAAGACCUUGCCUGAAUCGCUGAGAGGAGGUGCAUGGCCGUCGCCAGUUCGUACUGUGAAGCAUCCUGUUAAGUCAGGCAACGAGCGAGACCCGUGCCCACUGUUACCAGCAUAUUCUCCGGAAUGAUGGGUACUCUGUGGGGACCGCCGAUGUUAAAUCGGAGGAAGGUGCGGGCCACGGUAGGUCAGUAUGCCCCGAAUCUCCCGGGCUACACGCGGGCUACAAUGGAUGGGACAAUGGGUCCCUACCCUGAAGAGGGCUGGUAAUCUCACAAA
rnacentral:rRNA from 1 species